CUACGGGAGGCAGCAGUAGGGAAUCUUCCGCAAUGGACGAAAGUCUGACGGAGCAACACCGCGUGAGUGAUGAAGGUUUUCGGAUCGUAAAGCUCUGUUGUUAGGGAAGAACAAGUGCGAGAGUAACUGCUCGCACCUUGACGGUACCUAACCAGAAAGCCACGGCUAACUACGUGCCAGCAGCCGCGGUAAUACGUAGGUGGCAAGCGUUGUCCGGAAUUAUUGGGCGUAAAGGGCUCGCAGGCGGUUUCUUAAGUCUGAUGUGAAAGCCCCCGGCUCAACCGGGGAGGGUCAUUGGAAACUGGGAAACUUGAGUGCAGAAGAGGAGAGGGGAAUUCCAAGUGUAGCGGUGAAAUGCGUAGAGAUUUGGAGGAACACCAGUGACGAAGGCGACUAUCUGGUCUGUAACUGACACUGAGGCGCGAAAGCGUGGGGAGCAAACAGGAUUAGAUACCCUGGUAGUCCACGCCGUAAACGAUGAGUGCUAAGUGUUAGGGGGUUUCCGCCCCUUAGUGCUGCAGCUAACGCAUUAAGCACUCCGCCUGGGGAGUACGGUCGCAAGACUGAAACUCAAAGGAAUUGACG
rnacentral:rRNA from 1 species